rnacentral:rRNA from 1 species
GAGUAACACGUAAAGAACCUGCCUCAUAGACUGGGACAACUAUUGGAAACGAUAGCUAAUACCGGAUAACAGCAUUAACUGCAUGGUUGAUGUUUAAAAGUUGGUUUUGCUAACACUAUGAGAUGGCUUUGCGGUGCAUUAGCUAGUUGGUGGGGUAAAGGCCUACCAAGGCGACGAUGCAUAGCCGACCUGAGAGGGUGAUCGGCCACACUGGGACUGAGACACGGCCCAGACUCCUACGGGAGGCAGCAGUAGGGAAUCUUCCGCAAUGGGCGAAAGCCUGACGGAGCAACGCCGCGUGAGUGAAGAAGGAUUUCGGUUCGUAAAGCUCUGUUGUUAGGGAAGAAUGAUUGUGUAGUAACUAUACACAGUAGAGACGGUACCUAACCAGAAAGCCACGGCUAACUACGUGCCAGCAGCCGCGGUAAUACGUAGGUGGCAAGCGUUGUCCGGAAUUAUUGGGCGUAAAGCGCGCGCAGGUGGUUUAAUAAGUCUGAUGUGAAAGCCCACGGCUCAACCGUGGAGGGUCAUUGGAAACUGUUAAAACUUGAGUGCAGGAGAGAAAAGUGGAA